UACGUAGGGCGCAAGCGUUGUCCGGAAUUAUUGGGCGUAAAGAGCGUGUAGGCGGCCGUACAGGUCAGCUGUGAAAACUCGAGGCUCAACCUCGAGACGUCGGUUGAAACCGUACGGCUAGAGUCCGGAAGAGGAGAGUGGAAUUCCCGGUGUAGCGGUGAAAUGCGCAGAUAUCGGGAAGAACACCCGUGGCGAAGGCGGCUCUCUGGGACGGUACUGACGCUGAGACGCGAAAGCGUGGGGAGCGAACAGG
rnacentral:rRNA from 1 species